GUUUGUGUUAAGAGUACAUUGUACUGUCAUAUUUAUUGAUUUUCUGUUGGACAUGACCUACAUUGUUAACAUGCAAAACAGUGGCUUGAUAUUUCAACUGAUAUUAGUAUAAUAAAUUAAAAUUUGGAAUGUUAUAUAUCCUGUUUGAAUUAUUUUUUUUGAGGACUAAGAUGUUUUCUUCAUUCUUGUUCACAUUAUGAUUAUCUUAA
rnacentral:lncRNA from 1 species